GAAAUGCGAUAAGUAGUGUGAAUUGCAGAAUUCAGUGAAUCAUCGAAUCUUUGAACGCACAUUGCGCCCCUUGGUAUUCCAUGGGGCAUGCCUGUUCGAGCGUCAUUUGUACCCUCAAGCUCUGCUUGGUGUUGGGUGUUUGUCCCGUCUCCGCGCGUGGACUCGCCCCAAAGUGAUUGGCAGCCGGCGUACUGGUCCCGGAGCGCAGCACAUGUCGCGCAAACGAGUGCCUUGGUACGGCGGCGUCCAUAAGCCCCUCUCUCACGCUCUUGACCUCGGAUCAGGUCGGGAUACCCGCUGAACUUAAGC
rnacentral:misc_RNA from 1 species